GCCGGUGUAGCUCAGAGGCCAGAGCGUCCGCCUUGUAAGCGGAGGGUCACGGGUUCGACUCCCGUCUCCGGCU
rnacentral:tRNA from 1 species